rnacentral:rRNA from 1 species
ACUAGUACUAGCCCGAACCAAUAAAACUAAAUUAGCAAUCACCCAUAAAAUAAAACAUUUAUAGCAUAAAAGUAUAGGAGAUAGAAAUUAUGGCCCGGCGCUAUAGAGACAAAGUACCGUAAGGGAAUAAAAACACAAAGUAUUAAAUAGCAAAGAUUACACCUUUUACCUUUUGCAUAAUGAAUUAACUAGAAAAUCCUUGACAAAGAGUACUGAAGUCAAGAACCCCGAAACCAGACGAGCUAUACGAGAACAGCAAUACAGAGCAAACUCAUCUAUGUGGCAAAAUAGUGAGAAGAUUUUCGAAUAGAGGCGAUAAACCUACCGAGCCUGGUGAUAGCUGGUUGUCCAGUAAAUGAAUUUCAGUUCAACUUUAAACUUACCAAAUACAUAUUAUAAUUCCAAUGUAAGCUUAAAAGAUAAUCUAAAUGGGUACAGCCUUUUAGAUAUAGGCUACAACCUUAGUUAGAGAGUAAUCUAAAAAACCCACCAUAGUUGGCCUAAAAGCAGCCACCUAUAAAGAAAGCGUUCAAGCUCAACACACUAAUAACUUCAUCCCAACAAUACAUGUCAACUCCUAACAUGAACACUGGACCACUCUAUUAUUAAAUAGACGUAAUACUGUUAAUAUGAGUAACAAGAAUAAUUCUCCCCGCAUAAACUUAUAUCAGAACGGAUGGACCACUGAUAGUUAACAAAAAAAUAAAAUAACUCCAAAAACGAGACAUAUUAUAUAUUAACUUGUUAAUCCAACACAGGAAUGCACUCAGGGAAAGAUUAAAAGAAGUAAAAGGAACUCGGCAAACCCAGACCCCGCCUGUUUACCAAAAACAUCACCUCCAGCCUCACAAGUAUUGGAGGCACUGCCUGCCCAGUGACACAAGUUAAACGGCCGCGGUAUCCUGACCGUGCAAAGGUAGCAUAAUCACUUGUUCUCUAAAUAGGGACUUGUAUGAAUGGCCACACGAGAGUCUAACUGUCUCUUACUUCCAAUCAGUGAAAUUGACCUUCCAGUGAAGAGGCUGGAAUACUACAAUAAGACGAGAAGACCCUAUGGAGCUUUAAUUAACUAGCUUAAUAAGAAAAUACAUACACUCGCCAAAAGGGAUUAAACCACUCUUAGUAUAAGCCAGCAAUUUCGGUUGGGGUGACCUCGGAGCAUAGAAAAACCUCCGAGUGAUUAAUGUUUAGACAUACCUGUCAAAACAAUACAUCAUAAAUUGAUCCAAUUAUUUUGAUCAACGGAACAAGUUACCCUAGGGAUAACAGCGCAAUCCUAUUCAAGAGUCCGUAUCGACAAUAGGGUUUACGACCUCGAUGUUGGAUCAGGACAUCCAAGUGGUGCAGACGCUACUAAGGGUUCGUUUGUUCAACGAUUAAUAGUCCUACGUGAUCUGAGUUCAGACCGGAGUAAUCCAGGUCGGUUUCUAUCUAUUUCUAGUUCCUCCCAGUACGAAAGGAUAAGAGGGACAGGGCCUACAGUCCAACCGCGCCCUAUAAUAAACAGGUGAUAUAAUCUCAACCUGCCAAAACAAGACCUACCAACUCCUG